rnacentral:rRNA from 1 species
GACGAACGCUGGCGGCGUGCUUAACACAUGCAAGUCGAACGGAAAGGCCCUGCUUUUGUGGGGUGCUCGAGUGGCGAACGGGUGAGUAACACGUGAGUAACCUGCCCUUGACUUUGGGAUAACUUCAGGAAACUGGGGCUAAUACCGGAUAGGAGCUCCUGCUGCAUGGUGGGGGUUGGAAAGUUUCGGCGGUUGGGGAUGGACUCGCGGCUUAUCAGCUUGUUGGUGGGGUAGUGGCUUACCAAGGCUUUGACGGGUAGCCGGCCUGAGAGGGUGACCGGCCACAUUGGGACUGAGAUACGGCCCAGACUCCUACGGGAGGCAGCAGUGGGGAAUAUUGCACAAUGGGCGGAAGCCUGAUGCAGCAACGCCGCGUGCGGGAUGACGGCCUUCGGGUUGUAAACCGCUUUCGCCUGUGACGAAGCGUGAGUGACGGUAAUGGGUAAAGAAGCACCGGCUAACUACGUGCCAGCAGCCGCGGUGAUACGUAGGGUGCGAGCGUUGUCCGGAUUUAUUGGGCGUAAAGGGCUCGUAGGUGGUUGAUCGCGUCGGAAGUGUAAUCUUGGGGCUUAACCCUGAGCGUGCUUUCGAUACGGGUUGACUUGAGGAAGGUAGGGGAAAAUGGAAUUCCUGGUGGAGCGGUGGAAUGCGCAGAUAUCAGGAGGAACACCAGUGGCGAAGGCGGUCCUCUGGGCCUUUCCUGACGCUGAGGAGCGAAAGCGUGGGGAGCGAACAGGCCUAGAUACCCUGGUAGUCCACGCUGUAAACGGUGGGUACUAGGUGUGGGGUCCAUUCCACGGGUUCCGUGCCGUAGCUAACGCUUUAAGUACCCCGCCUGGGGAGUACGGCCGCAAGGCUAAAACUCAAAGGAAUUGACGGGGCCCCGCACAAGCGGCGGAGCAUGCGGAUUAAUUCGAUGCAACGCGUAGAACCUUACCUGGGUUUGACAUGGAUCGGGAGUGCUCAGAGAUGGGUGUGCCUCUUUUGGGGUCGGUUCACAGGUGGUGCAUGGCUGUCGUCAGCUCGUGUCGUGAGAUGUUGGGUUAAGUCCCGCAACGAGCGCAACCCUUGUUCACUGUUGCCAGCACGUUAUGGUGGGGACUCAGUGGAGACCGCCGGGGUCAACUCGGAGGAAGGUGGGGAUGACGUCAAGUCAUCAUGCCCCUUAUGUCCAGGGCUUCACGCAUGCUACAAUGGCUGGUACAGAGAGUGGCGAGCCUGUGAGGGUGAGCGAAUCUCGGAAAGCCGGUCUCAGUUCGGAUUGGGGUCUGCAACUCGACCUCAUGAAGUCGGAGUCGCUAGUAAUCGCAGAUCAGCAACGCUGCGGUGAAUGCGUUCCCGGGGCU